UGGGAAUUGGAAUUUCUUUUUUUGAAAUUUUUUCAAAAGGAAAAAUCAACACGAAAAUGGCUAAUUUGAUGCUGCUGCCACAGGGAGGCACCUCUCCCCCACUCAAUCUGACAGGUUAUGUCCAACUUUGGCAGCGCCAUCAUUCAGAUUUGGACAACAAUAUCAAGAUAACUAUGAUGGCUUGUGUUGGUCAAGUAAGUCACCCAAGACGGCGCAAGGUGUCUCCCAUCUUCCCGGCUUAUCCCCUGGGUAUUUAUACCUGUGUUUUCUGUCUGUCUGUGCCAGUUCGUCUUGUUUGUUCAAGCCAACCAGCGGUUUGUCUCAGCUCCUGUUUUUUCCCAGUCUCUCUUUUUCCUCAUCCUCCUGGUUUUCGGCAUUUGCCUGUCCUGAUCCUGUACCCGCCCACCUGACCACUGCCUGUCUCUGACCCUGAGCCUGCCUGCCAUCCUGUACCUUUGCUCCACCUCUGGAUUACCGACCUCAGCCUGACCUGAGCCUGCCUGCUGUCCCGUAGUUUGGCCUCUACUCUGGAUUAUUGACCUCUGCCUGCCUUGACCUGUCACUUGCCUGCCCCUGUUGUUACAAUAAACAUUGUUACUUCACACAGUCUGCACUUGGGUCUUACCUUGAUUCCUGAUAGAGGGGUGCUGUGAAGGAAAAUUGGAUGGCUAUAUUUUACUAGCUAGUCAUAUUCCCACAGCUAUGUACCUGGCUAUAUAUUUCAUUAGGUGUUUGUUUAUCUGUGAUAUGAUUCCUAUAAAAUAUUUGUCACGUCCUGACCAGUAUAAAGGUUAUUUGUUAUGGUAGUUUGGUCAGGACGUGGCAGAGGGUAUUUGUUUUAUGUGGUUCAGGGUGGUGGUUUUGUAGAAGGGUAUUUGAUUUAUGUAUUCUGGGGUUUUUGGGCACUGUUCUAUGUUAAUGUAUUUCUAUGUUUUAGUCUAGUUAGUUGUAUUUCUAUGUUUGGGUUAAUGGGGGGGUUUGACUCUCAAUUGGAGGCAGGUGCUUUCUCGUUGCCUCUGAGAGUCCUAUAUAUCGGUAAUUGUUUGGUUUAGUGUUUGUGGGAGAUUGUUUCUUGUUUUUCCUGUGUGAGCGUUACAAGACUGUUUUGUUG
rnacentral:lncRNA from 1 species